rnacentral:rRNA from 1 species
AUACGGAGGGUGCAAGCGUUACUCGGAAUCACUGGGCGUAAAGCGCGCGCAGGCGGUCUUUUAAGUUGGAUGUGAAAGCCUACGGCUCAACCGUAGAACUGCAUCCAAAACUAUUAGACUAGGGUGUGGGAGAGGAAGAUGGAAUUAGUUGUGUAGGGGUAAAAUCCGUAGAGAUAACUAGGAAUACCAAAAGCGAAGGCAAUCUUCUGGAACACUACUGACGCUGAGGCGCGAAAGCGUGGGGAGCGAACAGGAUUAGAAACCCUAGUAGUCC